UACAGAGGGUGCAAGCGUUGCUCGGAAUCAUUGGGCGUAAAGGGCAAGUAGGUGGUCUCAUUUGUCUCGUGUGAAAUCCUUGGGCUUAACUCAAGAAGUGCGCGAGAAACGGUGAGACUCGAGUUCUGGAGAGGGUCGUGGAAUUCCCGGUGUAGCGGUGAAAUGCGUAGAGAUCGGGAGGAACACCAGAGGCGAAGGCGGCGACCUGGACAGACACUGACA
rnacentral:rRNA from 1 species